GGAAGGGGCGGGCUACACAUGCAGUCGAGCGAGAACUUCGGUUCUAGCGGCGGACGGGUUAGUAACGCGUGGGAACGUGCCCUUCACUACGGAAUAGUCCCGGGAAACUGGGUUUAAUACCGUAUACGCCCUUCGGGGGAAAGAAUUUCGGUGAAGGAUCGGCCCGCGUUAGAUUAGAUAGUUGGUGGGGUAACGGCCUACCAAGUCUACGAUCUAUAGCUGGUUUUAGAGGAUGAUCAGCAACACUGGGACUGAGACACGGCCCAGACUCCUACGGGAGGCAGCAGUGGGGAAUCUUAGACAAUGGGCGCAAGCCUGAUCUAGCCAUGCCGCGUGAGUGAUGAAGGCCUUAGGGUCGUAAAGCUCUUUCGCCAGGGAUGAUAAUGACAGUACCUGGUAAAGAAACCCCGGCUAACUCCGUGCCAGCAGCCGCGGUAAUACGGAGGGGGUUAGCGUUGUUCGGAAUUACUGGGCGUAAAGCGCGCGUAGGCGGAUUGGAAAGUUGGGGGUGAAAUCCCAGGGCUCAACCCUGGAACUGCCUCCAAAACUAUCAGUCUAGAGUUCGAGAGAGGUGAGUGGAACUCCGAGUGUAGAGGUGAAAUUCGUAGAUAUUCGGAAGAACACCAGUGGCGAAGGCGGCUCACUGGCUCGAUACUGACGCUGAGGUGCGAAAGUGUGGGGAGCAAACAGGAUUAGAUACCCUGGUAGUC
rnacentral:rRNA from 1 species